UAGGGAAUCUUCGGCAAUGGACGAAAGUCUGACCGAGCAACGCCGCGUGAGUGAAGAAGGUUUUCGGAUCGUAAAACUCUGUUGUUAGAGAAGAACAAGGACGUUAGUAACUGAACGUCCCCUGACGGUAUCUAACCAGAAAGCCACGGCUAACUACGUGCCAGCAGCCGCGAUAAUACGUAGGUGGCAAGCGUUGUCCGGAUUUAUUGGGCGUAAAGCGAGCGCAGGCGGUUUCUUAAGUCUGAUGUGAAAGCCCCCGGCUCAACCGGGGAGGGUCAUUGGAAACUGGGAGACUUGAGUGCAGAAGAGGAGAGUGGAAUUCCAUGUGUAGCGGUGAAAUGCGUAGAUAUAUGGAGGAACACCAGUGGCGAAGGCGGCUCUCUGGUCUGUAACUGACGCUGAGGCUCGAAAGCGUGGGGAGCAAACAGG
rnacentral:rRNA from 1 species